rnacentral:tRNA from 1 species
GGGUCGUUAGUAGAGCAGUUGACUUUUAAUCAAUUGGUCGCAGGUUCGAAUCCUGCACGACCCACCA